CACGGUGGCCUGCUCCUCUGAGCCACCACACUCCACCUGCACUUGUUUACCGCCGGAGAGCUGGGGUCUGCCAUCACUGGCCUCUCAAGGAGCCUGUGCCUCCAGCAGCCACCGGGAUCCACCAGGACUAUGACCGUCCUGCCAAGCAGACCCAGGGAAGGUGUGCUGGCCACUGUGGAUGAGAGGCAGGCUCCCACCUGCAGGGUGUUCACUCAUGGCUCCUUCCAGUAAGUCAAGCAAGAUGGAAACACUUGAGUGAUGCAAGGCGGCGCUGCUCGGGAAAAGAGACACCGAUAUGCCACAUCAGUGAGGACCACCAGAAAAGACCAUUCCUUUCCAAAUUCCAAGCCUCAACAAAAGCGACCACAGCAGCCCAGACUCCUGUCUCUAAUCCCUACCUCCAUAUGCAGACAAAGGGUGGGGCUCUUUAGGCCUGAGCUCAUGGGGUUUCAUAUCAGUCCAACAAGGCAGAAUGCAUCCUUCCUGACAGACAAGGAUAGGCUGGGGACCAGAGAGACCCAGCUGACUCCACAGGGCAGAGCUGACACAGAGCCAGGGGAGGGCUGUGGCGGCCCACACUGCCUGUCUCUACAAGGCUAAGCAACUCCUCAUGCUGGCUGCUGAGCUGAGAGGUCACAGCUCUGUCCUAUAGCACCCUGGCCAAGUUUUCCAUGAAAUCAUCCAAAGCCAACAGGAGUUCCAGGAACCGUCCAUCUGUAGCUGCAGCUUCCUCCCUGGCUGUGGGAAUUUUCAGAUCCCUUGGGCCUGGGCUAAGUCCACUCUCCAUACAUGCAGGGGAAACACACCAGAGGGCCAGCCCUUGUUCCUAGACACGGCCCUGGCCCGUGACAAGCCCACCCAGACCCAGGGACAUGCAGACCUCCCUAACUGGCUAAUGUCUCCCUAGUAGCCAAUUACAGCAUUCACUGAGGGACUAGGCAGUCAUGCAGAGGCCAAGCUCUAAAGAUCACCCACCCCAGCCUGUCCCCCGACACCCCAGACAUACAGACCCACAGCUGCAUCCCUGUGCAAAUGCCAUAAUCCCAGCUUGGCUGCACGAACAUGCACACCUCUCCCAUUCAUGGCAGCGGGCCCAAAAGACAGGCAACAGGCAGGAAGCAGCUGGACACUAGGGUAAGAUGAGGAAGGCCAGCCCUCAGCCCCUUCUCCUCUGCACAGAGUGAUGGAGAGAUGAGGAGGGGUGAUGGAUACCGACCCAGGCCUGAAGAACACCUGAUGCAGCAGCAUAGAACACACCGAUGAGAAAUGGGCCCCAUUUCCAUCCCCCACAUCCUUCAGGAUGACCACUGAAGCUGCAAAGAAUCAAUUUUCUGCAGCUUCUUCGGAAGCCAGGACUUAUCUUCUGAGUGUGCAGAGCUAUUGGCUCAGCUGUUUCCCAUCAGCUUCCUACAUGCUUCCAGGCAGAGCAAGGCCCACUGCCUCCUUCUUCUUCUCUCCCCAGUGGUCAAACCCACACCCAGGAGUAGACUCCUGGGAAAAGCAGAGGGUCUUGACUUGGGAAAAUCAAGCCAGGUAUCAGGGACUCACCUUGGAUACCACCACUUCAUGUCACUUGCAAAGGACCUCGCACAUGCCCCAGCUAGGAGACAAGGCUAAAGUCUGGGGAGUCAGAGGACUAGAGAGAAGAGAGAAGAGGCGGGACCAAAGAGCCGCUGGACCCCAGAUUCACGGGCACAGAUGCAAUCUCUAGGUGGUAAUAUCAGGGCCACCGCUUCUCCGUGUCAGUCUUUAUUUACUGAGUGCCGACUGCCCAGGACCCUGUGCCAGAGCUGUGACCCAACCCCAUCCAGCCCGAGCUGCAGG